UACAAAAUACAAGUGUGUCGUAGGCUACU
rnacentral:piRNA from 1 species